CCAGCUCCACCUCAGUAACAACGCUAAAGCACCUCUUAAACCACCGUAGAGAGACAGACGGGUUUGCUUUAUUUGUAACAUACAUCAAAACACACAGUGAGGCAACGACAAAUGCAGUCCAAGGAUAGAGUGAUUGUAUGAACCACUAUGCUACCAUGCCACCCACGGACUGACCAUACAUACUGUCUUUUUCUCUGCGCUAGGGUCUUGCAGUUGUGGUCUAUCCUCACCCCCAGUGUAUGGUAUAGGGUUUAUGUAACUUCAUGCGCUGCCUGUAACUUUGUACCUACAAAGCCUCUGCAAGUAUGAUUUCAUUCUACCUGUACCUCACUGUAUUUGUGCAUGAGGCAAUUAACUCAACUAGACUUGGGACCUUGUGAAGCCCACCCACCCACCUUGGCUGAACGAGAGAUGAGCAGUGAGUAUUAGCCACAGUCAGUUUCCAGUGGUAACAGAUCACACGUAAGCUGACAGAAAUGUACAACUGCGUGUUUAUUUGCCAUGGGAUAACAAUUUCAGCAUGAACUUUAUCCAGCAUCUCACCAGAAUAUAAUUUACAUUCAGACACUGCAGAUAAAACAAUUUAAAAGGUGGGAGUUACAGCCCAGUGGAGAGAACAUUACCUGAGCUACAGGAGGGGUAGAAAGGGUAGAGUAAUGGACAGCAUGUGGGGGCAGGCAGAGGGGAUGAGGGAGACUGGAGGUGAAGGGCAGAUAGAAUGGAUGACGGAAAGUGGGGGUGUUUGUAGGGGUGAGGGAGAGUGGCAGUGGUUGAGAGUAAGGCAAGGGAAUGAGCAACCCUCACGGUAAGAGGAUGAGGGAGGGGGAGUUUGAGUGAGGUGUGGAGCAAGGAGAUGGGGGUAUGAGGGAGCACGGUGUGUGGGGAGGGGAAGGGGAAUGAGGCCUGCCCAGGAAGCCUUUGCUAGAAAGUCACCCGUGAUCACAGCCAUCACCAUGGACAUGAGCUCUUCCAACCAGAGUUGGUAUGGGCCGCAGCCUUGGGGCUGGAGUCAUGCUGACACUGCGCACAGGGCCAGGACGGUGUGCAACCAGUAGCUCUGGGCGCAGGGAGCCAGGGGCCCGGAGGGGCAGCAGUCUGCCAGAAAAGAAAUGUCACCCGCAGCCCUGCACAGACUGAGGGGCAGUCCAUGUCCCCUCAGCAUGACGGGCAAAGCAGGACACACCCGCACGUGUUCCUGCGGACCACACACAUUCAUUGAACUGUGCCAGAGCCCCGUUCCCCCCAACAAUAUCUAACGCCCCUCCCCACCC